rnacentral:piRNA from 1 species
UAAGUACCUCUCAUUGGCUCUUCCAGC